ACUGAAGGAGAACUGUUUUGCUUUGCUCCGGGAAGAGUGCAGACACGACGUGAAAUCCGGAGCUCUUUGCGUGGUGCAUUUAAAAUGCUUCCUUAUUUAUAUUACCCUCAUCCCCUCCCCUCUCCCACCCCCUCACCAGCCCUUCCAAAUUUCCCUAGAAAUCUGUGUAAAGCGUGGAGGGGAAAACAUUUGCAUAAAAAGUGAAGGAGCACGCCAAGGAGCACCAAAGACCAAGAGGAGACCAGAUGAGUUUUCAGAGCAGUUCUCAGACACCCAGGACGCAUGUCAUCCUUUGCCUCGUGCUUUCUGCAAUGUUGCUGCUCACCUUCAUCUUUCUAUUAACCCUCGCCAUAACAAUCCCCUCCUGACACCACCACCUCUUCUCCAUUAAUCACCCACUCAGCUCUCUCUGAGGUGUCUCUCCCAUGGGGCAUGGCUUUGUCUCUGGCAGGCUCCCCUUGAAUCAUAUCCAGAUGGCUACCAUUUACUUCCUUUUCCUCUGUCUCCUCUUCACACCAGACUCAGUUAACACUCAGUCCCUUGAUCAGGAAAACCGGAGAAAAAGUUCCCUUUUCUAAAAAGGAAGUCAGAGCGUGCUCUGCUGGAGCCACCAUGCUCAGGGAAGAGACCCAAAAUACAGCUGAGUGUGAUGUCAUUGAAACCAGAUGGAAAGACCAGAAAUCCCUUAAUCCCAGUCAGACCUAGUGAAGCUUUACUUGUGACUGUUGGGACUGGUUAAGAAUAUGGGGGCAGGGAGGAAGAGAGGGAGAAAGAUGUUCUGAAUUGGAUUGCCCUUCAAUACAGAAUGGAAUCCCCUAGUUUUUUUGUCCUCCAAUUAAAUGUGCAUUUCAUUCU
ensembl:lincRNA